rnacentral:rRNA from 1 species
GACGAACGCUGGCGGCGUGCCUAAUACAUGCAAGUCGAGCGCAGGAAGCCGUCUGAACCCUUCGGGGGGACGACGGUGGAAUGAGCGGCGGACGGGUGAGUAACACGUAAAGAACCUGCCCAUAGGUCUGGGAUAACCACGAGAAAUCGGGGCUAAUACCGGAUGUGUCAUCGGACCGCAUGGUCCGCUGAUGAAAGGCGCUCCGGCGUCGCCCAUGGAUGGCUUUGCGGUGCAUUAGCAAGUUGGUGGGGUAACGGCUCACCAAGGCGACGAUGCAUAGCCGACCUGAGAGGGUGAUCGGCCACACUGGGACGGAGACACGGCCCAGACUCCGACGGGAGGCAGCAGUAGGGAAUCUUCCACAAUGGACGAAAGUCUGAUGGAGCAACGCCGCGUGAACGAUGAAGGCUUUCGGGUCGUAAAGUUCUGUUGUAAGGGAAGAACAAGUGCCGCAGGCAAUGGCGGCACCUUGACGGUACCUUGCGAGAAAGCCACGGCUAACUACGUGCCAGCAGCCGCGGUAA